UACGUAGGGGACAAGCGUUGUCCGGAUUUACUGGGCGUAAAGAGCGCGCAGGCGGUCGAUCAAGUCGAGUGUGAAAGCCCCCGGCUCAACUGGGGAGGGUCAUUCGAUACUGGUCGACUCGAAGGCAGGAGAGGGUAGUGGAAUUCCCGGUGUAGUGGUGAAAUGCGUAGAUAUCGGGAGGAACACCAGUGGCGAAGGCGACUACCUGGCCUGUUCUUGACGCUGAGGCGCGAAAGCUAGGGGAGCAAACGGG
rnacentral:rRNA from 1 species